GCUUCCAGGAAAACCAGUCACCGAUUGGCCGGACGCAGCGCCAAUCAUAGAAGCCCUUUGAAAGUGAGCAUUGGCUCGCGAGCUAGGUAGAAACGAGUCGUGGUCACUCGUACGCCGACCACCGAGUCGUGCGGAUGCAUUAUACAGGUGCAUGUGCACAUUCUUCCUUCUAUUUUCCUGUCUUCCCUUUCGCCUUUCUUUCUUUCUCUGUCUCUUAUACGUUUUCCUUUAUCUCCCUCUCUGACCUCUCUCGAAGGCCAGAAAUUCCAACCUCUUCUCGAAAUAGAUCGAUGACACUCGUCCGACAAUCUCGCGCGUAUGCACGCGUCGCUUCACCGCGUAUGUGUGAUUCGCGCACACGCACUUACGUCCGUAUCUAUUCACUUCAUAUGUAUCCGUACACGAUCUAUAGAUGUAUCUAUAUAUACAUAUACAUGGUAUCCAUGUGUGUGAAUAUAACAUAUAUAUACACUCUCGGGGCCGAUGUCUCUGAAAUAACCGAGCGAGGCACACUCGUCGGACAGGGGAAUAAGGUGCAAUGCACGCACCCGUUCACUGUGGCCUCUCUUUCUCGCUUUCUCUCCUACCCUCCCACCGCUAAUGUCUCUCUUUCUGUCACGUUUGCCUCUUUCUCCGUCUACCGAUACCGACUCUUUUUCUCUUUCUCUUACACAAGCGCUGCAACUGCAGUUGCAUCCGACAGUGUCUCGAAUGGCAGUGGGGGUCACACUAUAUUAAGAUUGAACUCCACUGACACGGCCGCCCAACUGCGUUCAUUCUCCUCCUACUCUUUCUUCUUUCUCUUUCUCUCUCUCCCUCUCUCUCUCUUUCUGUUCCGUCACCAGUCUUUCUUUCUUCUCCCUUUCUUUCCGUCCGCACACGUUCAGCUUAUCUCUCUUCCACUUUUUCUCUUUCUCUAUGCCCGAUGCUUCUUUCUCCUUUAUUCUCUUUCUCUCUUCACUCUACUCGAUACGUCCGCUAUCCGGCUUGAUACGCGACGAUCGGUGUGUGUUUCGUGUUCCAUAGAGAACAUUCUGAACACACAUAUAUACAUAUUGUGGAAUACAUUGUGCGCCGUCUCAAGUCUCGCGAUAGAAAAAUCAGAUUACGAAAGACCGUUGAUUUUCUAGACCGCGGGAACGUGUUACGUGUCGUCGAAAAGAAUACGAAAGAAAUGGCCAAGCUCUCGGUCAUGUUACGAUGAAGGACGCGGUAUUUAUUCGACGACGAAGGAUUCGCGAAUAUGCACGAGUAAUAAAGACGAUAUGGAAAUCAAAUAAAAGCCACUUCCAAUAAAAACCACUUAGAAAAAUCGUAUUUAAUUCUUUCUUCCUAUUUAUCACUACACUUUGCACAGAAAAAUUCACAACGGUUUCUUUAUCUUGAAUUUGAACGUUUUUCGUCAAUACGAUUCGAUCACUAUUUAAUGCGUUAUAUCGAAAAGAUACGAACGAUCCACUUUUAUAAUCGUUUAGCCCGUUUAUAACACCUAUGAAUAUCUACUUUCAUCGCCAUCAAAGGACACUUAUAGCUUGAAAAAUACGAAAUAAAACUUGAAUAUUCCUUUUCGUAAACUUUACACAAAAUGGCUUCUUCCCUACUCAUGGUCAAAUUCGUUUUCUCGCUUCUCGACCGCAGUGCGCACCAUUGUUGGCGGCCAAUUAUCGUACUACGCUGGGCAACAGUUAAAGCUGAAACUAAUAUGGAAGAAUGUUGCAAAAUAACGAGGCACGCUUAACCCAUGGCCGAUGAUUCAUUAUUAGUUCACGGAUAAGUGUCAUGUAUAUGGUCUACGGGACUUACGCGGACAGCACGGUUCAGUUAUAAUUACACGAUAUUGGAUAUCACGAUAUUAAUGAGCCACAGCGGAUAUAAUGGGACGUGCUGCCCACCGUGGAAGUCGACCACUCCGCCCAACGAGUGGCUCUCUCGAUCGUUCUCGAGAGAAACCAAAGGCAUGUACGAUGUUAGGUUAGGACACGAUCGUCGCAAAGCCGGGAAUAAAUCGAUUACAACCGAACGUCGACGAAACUAUCCCCUGACCUGGAAGAAGGGUGGGAAAUGUGCUCGAUCCCCAAACUCAUGGGUAUAUCCCAUCAGCUGUGCCUCCAGCUGUAGGCCACUUCGAAUGCAAAAAAGCACGUCGUCAAGGGGCGAGAACCGUGGUUCGAGCGUGUAUCGAUCAAAGGUUGAUGAAUAAGGGGUGCACAUGCAGUACAUCUGACGAGAUGUUCAACCCUCUGGGAACGCAAAUCCAUCAAAGGUAAUGCAUCGGUGAAUAGAACAGAUACAUAUUCAAGGAAGAUUGACGAGGAACGUACGAUUCGAAUAAUAUUUGUUUAAUUUAUUUUUUCAUGAAAUGCUAAAUGUAAUGUACAUAUGAAUGGUUGAUUGAAAUUGAAAAUAUUAUCAAUGAGGAUACUUACAACUUUGUAUGCGAUACAAAGUUAUGAUUUUAAAGAAUAAAAUUGUGUUUAUGCAAAGACAA